UCUUCGAUGAUGAUUUACACAGCGACUUUCGUUCUUCUGAUCCAACUGAAGCCAGCCUUAGUGUACUGAGACUA